GACGAACGCUGGCGGCGUGCCUAAUACAUGCAAGUGGGACGCAAGGAAACACACUGUGCUUGCACACCGUGUUUUCUUGAGUCGCGAACGGGUGAGUAACGCGUAGGUAACCUGCCUAUUAGCGGGGGAUAACUAUUGGAAACGAUAGCUAAUACCGCAUAAUAUUAAUUAUUGCAUGAUAAUUGAUUGAAAGAUGCAAGCGCAUCACUAGUAGAUGGACCUGCGUUGUAUUAGCUAGUUGGUAAGGUAAGAGCUUACCAAGGCGACGAUACAUAGCCGACCUGAGAGGGUGAUCGGCCACACUGGGACUGAGACACGGCCCAGACUCCUACGGGAGGCAGCAGUAGGGAAUCUUCGGCAAUGGACGAAAGUCUGACCGAGCAACGCCGCGUGAGUGAAGAAGGUUUUCGGAUCGUAAAGCUCUGUUGUAAGUCAAGAACGUGUGUGAG
rnacentral:rRNA from 1 species